UAAGGAAUAUUGGUCAAUGGACGCAAGUCUGAACCAGCCAUGCCGCGUGAAGGAUGAAGGUCCUCUGGAUUGUAAACUUCUUUUAUCUGGGACGAAAACGGGAUUUUUAUCUCAAUUGACGGUACCAGAGGAAUAAGCACCGGCUAACUCCGUGCCAGCAGCCGCGGUAAUACGGAGGGUGCGAGCGUUAUCCGGAUUUACUGGGUUUAAAGGGUGCGUAGGUGGGCUUAUAAGUCAGUGGUGAAAUCUCCGAGCUUAACUUGGAAACUGCCGUUGAUACUAUAGGUCUUGAAUUAUCUGGAGGUAAGCGGAAUAUGUCAUGUAGCGGUGAAAUGCUUAGAUAUGACAUAGAACACCAAUUGCGAAGACAGCUUACUACAUAUAAAUUGACGCUGAGGCACGAAAGCGUGGGGAUCAAACA
rnacentral:rRNA from 1 species